GGCGAUAUGGCCGAGCGGUCUAAGGCGCCAGAAUCAGGAAGCUUGUCCUAUCUGGUCCUCACGGGCGUGGGUUCGAAUCCCACUGUCGUCA